UGGAAAGAGAAGCAUGUAGACGAAUAGGC
rnacentral:piRNA from 1 species